UACGUAGGGGGCUAGCGUUGUCCGGAAUCAUUGGGCGUAAAGAGCGUGUAGGCGGUCCGGUAAGUCCGCUGUGAAAGUCGGGGGCUCAACCCUCGAAUGCCGGUGGAUACUGUCGGGCUAGAGUGCGGAAGAGGCGAGUGGAAUUCCUGGUAUAGCGGUGAAAUGCGCAGAUAUCAGGAGGAACACCUAUAGCGAAGGCAGCUCGCUGGGACGUAACUGACGCUGAGACGCGAAAGCGUGGGGAGCAAACAGG
rnacentral:rRNA from 1 species